AACGAACGCUGGCGGCAUGCCUAACACAUGCAAGUCGAACGGGACGUUCGGGUCUAGUGGCGCACGGGGGCGUAACGCGUGGGAACCUGCCCUUAGGUUCGGAAUAACUCCCCGAAGGGGGUGCUAAUACCGGAUAAGGUCUUCGGACCAAAGAUGUAUCGCCUUUGGAUGGGCCCGCGUUGGAUUAGCUAGUUGGUAGGGUAAAAGCCUACCAAGGCGACGAUCCAUAGCUGGUCUGAGAGGAUGAUCAGCCACACUGGGAAUGAGACACGGCCCAGACUCCUACGGGAGGCAGCAGUGGGGAAUAUUGGACGAGGGGCGAAAGCCUGAUCCAGCAAUGCCGCGUGAGUGAUGAAGGCCUUAGGGUUGUAAAGCUCUUUUAGCCGGGAUGAUAAUGACAGUACCGGGAGAAUAAGCUCCGGCUAACUCCGUG
rnacentral:rRNA from 1 species